rnacentral:rRNA from 1 species
GCCCUUCCGUAGGUGAACCUGCGGAAGGAUCAUUA